rnacentral:rRNA from 1 species
GGACGAACGCUGGCGGCGUGCUUAACACAUGCAAGUCGAGCGGUAAGGCCCUUUCGGGGUACGACGAGCGGCGAACGGGUAGGAGUAACAACGUGGGUGGACCUCGCCCUCCAGCUCUGGGAGUAAGCCUCGGGAAACCGGGGUACGUAAUAACUGGAUAUGACUCCAUGACGCAUGUUGUGGGGUGGAAAGACCUUGUGCGGCUGAGGAUGGGCCCGGCCGGCCUAUCAGCUUGUUGGUGGGGUGAUGGCCUACCAAGGCGACGACGGGUAGCCGGCCUGAGAGGGCGACCGGCCACACUGGGACUGAGACACGGCCCAGACUCCUACGGGAGGCAGCAGUGGGGAAUCUUGCGCAAUGGGCGAAAGCCUGACGCAGCGACGCCGCGUGAGGGAUGACGGCC